rnacentral:rRNA from 1 species
UUGACCUCGAAUCAGGUAGGAAUACCCGCUGAACUUAAGCAUAUCAAUAAGCGGAGGAAAAGAAACCAACCGGGAUUACCUCAGUAACGGCGAGUGAAGCGGUAACAGCUCAAAUUUGAAAUCUGGCUCCUUCGGAGUCCGAGUUGUAAUUUGUAGAAGAUGCUUUGGGUGUCGAGUUCGGCCUAAGUUCCUUGGAACAGGACGUCAUAGAGGGUGAGAAUCCCGUAUGUGGCCGAGGCCCGCGCCUAUGUAAAGCUCUUUCAACGAGUCGAGUUGUUUGGGAAUGCAGCUCAAAAUGGGUGGUAAAUUUCAUCUAAAGCUAAAUAUGGGCCAGAGACCGAUAGCGCACAAGUAGAGUGAUCGAAAGAUGAAAAGCACUUUGGAAAGAGAGUUAAACAGUACGUGAAAUUGUUGAAAGGGAAGCGCUUGCAACCAGACUUGGGCGCUGCCGAUCACCCCGAGUUCUCUCAGGUGCACUCGACAGCGCACAGGCCAGCAUCGGUUCGGGUGGCUGGAUAAAGGCCGUAGGAACGUGGCUCCCUUCGAGGAGUGUUAUAGCCUACGGUGCCAUGCAGCCCAGCCGGACCGAGGACCGCGCCUUCGGGCUAGGAUGCUGGCGUAAUGGUUGUAAGCGACCCGUCUUGAAACACGGACCAAGGAGUCUAACAUCUAUGCGAGUGUUUGGGUGGUAAACCCAUACGCGGAAUGA